UGAGGAAUAUUGGACAAUGGGCGGGAGCCUGAUCCAGCCAUGCCGCGUGCAGGAAGACUGCCCUAUGGGUUGUAAACUGCUUUUAUACAGGAAGAAUAAGCCUUACGUGUAAGGUGAUGACGGUACUGUAAGAAUAAGGACCGGCUAACUCCGUGCCAGCAGCCGCGGUAAUACGGAGGGUCCGAGCGUUAUCCGGAAUUAUUGGGUUUAAAGGGUCCGUAGGCGGAUGAUUAAGUCAGGGGUGAAAGUUUGCAGCUCAACUGUAAAAUUGCCUUUGAUACUGGUUAUCUUGAGUUGUAUUGAAGUAGGCGGAAUAUGUAGUGUAGCGGUGAAAUGCAUAGAUAUUACAUAGAACACCAAUUGCGAAGGCAGCUUACUAAGUACUAACUGACGCUGAUGGACGAAAGCGUGGGUAGCGAACAGGAUUAGAUACCCUGGUAGUCCACGCCGUAAACGAUGGAUACUAGCUGUUCGGGGCCUUGAGUUCUGAGCGGCUAAGCGAAAGUGAUAAGUAUCCCACCUGGGGAGUACGUUCGCAAGAAUG
rnacentral:rRNA from 1 species